CCCGCAGAUCUCGCAGAUGUAUGGUUUCUCCCCAGAAUGCCGACGUAAGUGAGUCUGCAAUUCACACGCUUAUAAAAAAUGGUAUUUUCCGCCCAAUGAACUAGAAAUUUCUUUUCUUGAAAAUUAUUUUUUUUGAUUUAGUCUGAAGUCUUUUAAGUUACAGAUAUCAUCAGAGGCUUCUCUCCCAAGUCCAAAAGUAUGUCUUAU